rnacentral:tRNA from 1 species
UACUAAAUGGCAGAUAAAUGCGUAAAAUUUAAGAUUUUAUUAUACUAAUUUUUUAUAGUUUUAGUAA